CCAAAAAAAAAAAAACUGCCCCCUCCCCUCAGUCGCUCCCGCACACCUCUCCCCACGGCCACAUCGCCCGUCGUCGCCACCGCUCGUCGCCGCCGCCUCCCCACGCGACGGAGGCAUCUCUCCCUUAUUUCCCAAGUUCGCGGCAGAUAAUGGCGGAAAUGACGACCACCAACUCUCUCUUCUCCCUCGCCCCGCUCCGCCUCACCCAUCGCCGUCUCAUCUCCCGCACCCCCGGCACAGCCUCACGCUUCCGGAAUCCGGACGCUCGCCUCGAAGGAGGCAGUCGCCUCAACCGUCCCCGGGCCCGGUAGGGGCGCGGGGAGCGGGCUACUCUCAGUGCUCGACCGGGCGCUCACCAACAAGGAGCGGCGCUGCCACGAGCGUGCCCAGGUGCGGCGCAAGGGCAUGGAGGCAGAGAGGUCCGCCGUAGAGGGGAUCCAGGUGCCGGAGAGGAGGAAGAAGGUGGUGAAUAGCACACAUCAGCAGUCGUCCUCCCACGACCCACGCCAGACACGCCCAUGUUCUAUUGCUGCUGAUCCCGCAUUACGGUGCACAUAAACUGUUUGAGGUUAAAAUGACAGUUGUUCUUGGGGAGCUUGGAGGAAGUGAUGAGUAUUCACUACUCGAAUCCUUGAAACAAGGAAAGGUCGAGAAACCUAUUGUUGCUCGGGUUAGUGGGACGUGUGCACGUCUGUUGAAAUUUGAGUCCAAUUUUGCCAUGCUGGUGCGAUGAGUGGUGGUGAGUUGGAAUCUGCACAAGCUAAGAAUCAGGCACUAAGGGAUGUUGGGGCUGUUGUUCCUACUUCAUUUGAAGCUCUUAAAAGGAUUAAGGAUUUCAGAAGCUGGUUGAGGAAGGAAAUAUUCCGCCUGUCCCCGAGGUUACACCUCCCCCCAUUCCUGAAGAUCUUAAAACUGCCAUUGAAGUGGGAAGGUCUGAGCUCUUACAAUUUAUCUCCACUAUCUCUGAUGAUAGAGAAUUUUAGGUGCUUUGGAAUCCAUGGGUGGUAAGAAUUCUUAUCUGUAGUAGGUCCUCCCUGAUGUAUGUAGCUCUCCCCUGGGAUACUACAUUCAGUACACCUGCCCUGCAGUCGGUAUCGAGAAAUUCUGCUCCAUUGCUUUUCUACUACAUUGAGGACUAUGAUCAUUUGUUUCAAAGAGAGGUUUACUGUUGAGAUUUUUAUUUGCUUUGUAGCUUCAUAUGUUCAUACUUCCACCAGAUAAUAUGAACAAAUAGCGUUGCAAGAGCCCCCUGCUAUAAA